UUAAGUUAGAAAGGGCGCACGGUGGAUGCCUUGACACUAGGAGUCGAUGAAGGACGGGACUAACGCCGAUAUGCUUCGGGGAGCUGUAAGUAAGCUUUGAUCCGAAGAUUUCCGAAUGGGGAAACCCACCAUACGUAAUGGUAUGGUAUCCUUAUCUGAAUACAUAGGGUAAGGAAGACAGACCCAGGGAACUGAAACAUCUAAGUACCUGGAGGAAGAGAAAGCAAAUGCGAUUUCCUGAGUAGCGGCGAGCGAAACGGAACAUAGCCCAAACCAAGAGGCUUGCCUCUUGGGGUUGUAGGACAUUCUAUACGGAGUUACAAAGGAACGAGGUAGACGAAGCGACCUGGAAAGGUCCGUCGUAGAGGGUAACAACCCCGUAGUCGAAACUUCGUUCUCUCUUGAAUGUAUCCUGAGUACGGCGGAACACGUGAAAUUCCGUCGGAAUCUGGGAGGACCAUCUCCCAAGGCUAAAUACUCCCUAGUGAUCGAUAGUGAACCAGUACCGUGAGGGAAAGGUGAAAAGCACCCCGGAAGGGGAGUGAAAGAGAUCCUGAAACCGUGUGCCUACAAAUAGUCAGAGCCCGUUAACGGGUGAUGGCGUGCCUUUUGUAGAAUGAACCGGCGAGUUACGAUCCCGUGCGAGGUUAAGCUGAAGAGGCGGAGCCGCAGCGAAAGCGAGUCUGAAUAGGGCGUUUAGUACGUGGUCGUAGACCCGAAACCAGGUGAUCUACCCAUGUCCAGGGUGAAGUUCAGGUAACACUGAAUGGAGGCCCGAACCCACGCACGUUGAAAAGUGCGGGGAUGAGGUGUGGGUAGCGGAGAAAUUCCAAUCGAACCUGGAGAUAGCUGGUUCUCCCCGAAAUAGCUUUAGGGCUAGCCUUAAGUGUAAGAGUCUUGGAGGUAGAGCACUGAUUGGACUAGGGGUCCUCAUCGGAUUACCGAAUUCAGUCAAACUCCGAAUGCCAAUGACUUAUCCUUAGGAGUCAGACUGCGAGUGAUAAGAUUCGUAGUCAAAAGGGAAACAGCCCAGACCGCCAGCUAAGGUCCCAAAGUGUGUAUUAAGUGGAAAAGGAUGUGGAGUUGCUUAGACAACUAGGAUGUUGGCUUAGAAGCAGCCACCAUUUAAAGAGUGCGUAAUAGCUCACUAGUCGAGUGACUCUGCGCCGAAAAUGUACCGGGGCUAAAUACACCACCGAAGCUGCGGAUUGAUACCAAUGGUAUCAGUGGUAGGGGAGCGUUCUAAGGACAGUGAAGUCAGACCGGAAGGACUGGUGGAGUGCUUAGAAGUGAGAAUGCCGGUAUGAGUAGCGAAAGACGGGUGAGAAUCCCGUCCACCGAAUGCCUAAGGUUUCCUGAGGAAGGCUCGUCCGCUCAGGGUUAGUCAGGACCUAAGCCGAGGCCGACAGGCGUAGGCGAUGGACAACAGGUUGAUAUUCCUGUACCACCUCUUUAUCGUUUGAGCAAUGGAGGGACGCAGAAGGAUAGAAGAAGCGUGCGAUUGGUUGUGCACGUCCAAGCAGUUAGGCUGAUAAGUAGGCAAAUCCGCUUAUCGUAAAGGCUGAGCUGUGAUGGGGAAGCUCCUUAUGGAGCGAAGUCUUUGAUUCCCCGCUGCCAAGAAAAGCUUCUAGCGAGAUAAAAGGUGCCUGUACCGCAAACCGACACAGGUAGGCGAGGAGAGAAUCCUAAGGUGUGCGAGAGAACUCUGGUUAAGGAACUCGGCAAAAUGACCCCGUAACUUCGGGAGAAGGGGUGCUUUCUUAACGGAAAGCCGCAGUGAAUAGGCCCAAGCGACUGUUUAGCAAAAACACAGCUCUCUGCGAAGCCGUAAGGCGAAGUAUAGGGGGUGACACCUGCCCGGUGCUGGAAGGUUAAGGAGAGGGGUUAGCGUAAGCGAAGCUCUGAACUGAAGCCCCAGUAAACGGCGGCCGUAACUAUAACGGUCCUAAGGUAGCGAAAUUCCUUGUCGGGUAAGUUCCGACCCGCACGAAAGGUGUAACGAUUUGGGCACUGUCUCAACCAGAGACUCGGUGAAAUUAUAGUACCUGUGAAGAUGCAGGUUACCCGCGACAGGACGGAAAGACCCCGUGGAGCUUUACUGUAGCCUGAUAUUGAAUUUUGGUACAGUUUGUACAGGAUAGGCGGGAGCCAUUGAAACCGGAGCGCUAGCUUCGGUGGAGGCGCUGGUGGGAUACCGCCCUGACUGUAUUGAAAUUCUAACCUACGGGUCUUAUCGACCCGGGAGACAGUGUCAGGUGGGCAGUUUGACUGGGGCGGUCGCCUCCUAAAGUGUAACGGAGGCGCCCAAAGGUUCCCUCAGAAUGGUUGGAAAUCAUUCGUAGAGUGCAAAGGCAUAAGGGAGCUUGACUGCGAGACCUACAAGUCGAGCAGGGACGAAAGUCGGGCUUAGUGAUCCGGUGGUUCCGCAUGGAAGGGCCAUCGCUCAACGGAUAAAAGCUACCCCGGGGAUAACAGGCUUAUCUCCCCCAAGAGUCCACAUCGACGGGGAGGUUUGGCACCUCGAUGUCGGCUCAUCGCAUCCUGGGGCUGUAGUCGGUCCCAAGGGUUGGGCUGUUCGCCCAUUAAAGCGGUACGCGAGCUGGGUUCAGAACGUCGUGAGACAGUUCGGUCCCUAUCCGUCGUGGGCGUAGGAAAUUUGAGAGGAGCUGUCCUUAGUACGAGAGGACCGGGAUGGACGCACCGCUGGUGUACCAGUUGUUCUGCCAAGGGCAUAGCUGGGUAGCUAUGUGCGGAAGGGAUAAGUGCUGAAAGCAUCUAAGCAUGAAGCCCCCCUCAAGAUGAGAUUUCCCAUAGCGUAAGCUAGUAAGAUCCCUGAAAGAUGAUCAGGUUGAUAGGUUCGAGGUGGAAGCAUGGUGACAUGUGGAGCUGACGAAUACUAAUAGAUCGAGGACUUAACCAU
rnacentral:rRNA from 1 species